rnacentral:rRNA from 1 species
AACUUUGGACAAUGGGCGAAAGCCUGAUCCAGCCAUGCCGCGUGCGGGAAGAAGGCCUUCGGGUUGUAAACCGCUUUUGGCAGGAACGAAACGGCGCUCGCUAAUACCGGGCGCUAAUGACGGUACCUGCAGAAUAAGCACCGGCUAACUACGUGCCAGCAGCCGCGGUAAUACGUAGGGUGCAAGCGUUAAUCGGAAUUACUGGGCGUAAAGCGUACGCAGGCGGCCAUGUAAGACAGGUGUGAAAUCCCCGGGCUUAACCUGGGAACUGCAUUUGUGACUGCAUGGCUAGAGUUUGUCAGAGGGGGGUGGAAUUCCACGUGUAGCAGUGAAAUGCGUAGAGAUGUGGAGGAACACCGAUGGCGAAGGCAGCCCCCUGGGACAUGACUGACGCUCAGGUACGAAAGCGUGGGGAGCAAACAGGAUUAGAUACCCUGGUAGUCCACGCCCUAAACGAUGUCGACUAGUUGUCGGGCCUUUACAGGCUCGGUAACGCAGCUAACGCGUGAAGUCGACCGCCUGGGGAGUACGGUCGCAAGAUUAAAACUCAAAGGAAUUGACGG